rnacentral:rRNA from 1 species
AACGAACGCUGGCGGCAUGCCUAACACAUGCAAGUCGAACGGGAUCCAGGCUUCGGCCUGGUGAGAGUGGCGGACGGGUGAGUAACACGUGGGAACCUGCCUUUUGGUUCGGGAUAACCGCGGGAAACUGCGGCUAAUACCGGAUGCUCCCGAGAGGGGAAAGAUUUAUCGCCAGAAGAGGGGCCCGCGUCCGAUUAGGUAGUUGGUGAGGUAAUGGCUCACCAAGCCGACGAUCGGUAGCUGGUCUGAGAGGAUGAUCAGCCACACUGGGACUGAGAUACGGCCCAGACUCCUACGGGAGGCAGCAGUGGGGAAUAUUGGACAAUGGGGGCAACCCUGAUCCAGCAAUGCCGCGUGAGUGAUGAAGGCCUUAGGGUUGUAAAGCUUUUUGCCAGGGAAGAUGAUGACUGUACCUGGAGAAUAAGCCCCGGCUAACUUCGUGCCAGCAGCCGCGGUAAU